CGAGGGCGAAACAGAGCGAAGGUGCUGCAAUGCGCUGCCUUGCCACAAGUGAAAAGUCCGUGAGGCCGGCCUGAGGGUGGCUCUGACAUGAGGCUCCCUUGUCGCCUAUGUCCAGGUGAUGCAAGCCAGAAAGACCAUUACAUGAAGCAAUGAUGGGCGAUACAUGGAGAACGAACGAAGUGAUUGUGCGAGCAGGCCAAGUCAGAAAGUUGCAAGGAAGCUAUUAUUGCAACGAAACCAGCCACCGCCGCCUCUAGCACCAUCCGAAGGCAUCAAGGCAUGCUUUUCUUUGCCUCCAACGUCUUUGUAGUUCAUCUUUGGUCGAACCAGGCUUCGUCUCCGUGAUCUCGUCAUCAGGAAUAGACUGACCUUCGAC
rnacentral:lncRNA from 1 species